AGUGCUAGCCAUGCCAACUUGAGUGCAUUGAGUAUUAUGUGACCUUGAAAUUCAAGUAGGAUUAGGCCUGGUUAGUACUGGGAUAAGUGACCACCUGGCAAAACUGGGUGCUAUAAAUC
rnacentral:rRNA from 1 species